AAAGACUGACGCUCAUGCACGAAAGCGUGGGGAUCAAACAGGAUUAGAUACCCUGGUAGUCCACGCUGUAAACGAUGAUCACUCGUUGUUAGCGAUAUACUGUUAGCGACUGAGCGAAAGCAUUAAGUGAUCCACCUGGGGAGUACGGCGGCAACGUUGAAACUCAAAGGAAUUGACGGGGGCCCGCACAAGCGGAGGAGCAUGUGGUUUAAUUCGAUGAUACGCGAGGAACCUUACCUGGGCUUAAAUGUAGGACGACGUUUCGUGAAAGCGGAAUUUCCUUCGGGACGUCUUACAAGGUGCUGCAUGGUUGUCGUCAGCUCGUGCCGUGAGGUGUCGGGUUAAGUCCCAUAACGAGCGCAACCCUUAUCAUUAGUUGCCAUCAGGUAAUGCUGGGAACUCUAAUGAAACUGCCUACGCAAGUAGUGAGGAAGGUGGGGAUGACGUCAAAUCAGCACGGCCCUUAUGUCCAGGGCGACACACGUGCUACAAUGGCCAGUACAGAGGGUUGCAAA
rnacentral:rRNA from 1 species